GUCGUGUACAAACAGUGGCUACUGGGUGGCCCCGCUGAUCUACGCUUCCUGGAAUUUCCCCAUUUACUUCAUCUAGAGCUCAUUCUUCCGUGGUUCAACUCGAAUUCUCUAUGAGUAAUCUGCAGAAAUGUCAUCUGCUUCAAGUUCUCAUCAUUCACAACGACAAGGAACAAUCCAAGUUGUCUUGAAUCACAACUGACCUUUAUUGAAUUUAAAGGAUAUAGAGGAUCUCCAGAUGAACUGUUAUUUGCCGAGUAUAUUUUAAAAAAAGGACUUGUUUUGAAGAUAAUGAUUAUUGCUGAUAUUUCGAUAGACCUAAAGAAGAAGUUUGACACUCUUAAGAGAUUA